rnacentral:sRNA from 1 species
UCCUCGAUCUGCUGCGGGCAGAUGAAGUGGAUGUGCACGUCCAGGCCGCCGGCCGUGACGAUCUUGCCCUCGCCGGCGAUCGCCUCGGUCGAGGGGCCGACGACGAUGUCGACGCCGGGCUGGACGUCGGGGUUGCCGGCCUUGCCGAUCGCGGCGAUGCGGCCGUCCCGGAUGCCGAUGUCGGCCUUGACGAUGCCCCAGUGGUCGAGGAUCAGCGCGUUGGUGAUGACCGUGUCGACGGCGCCCUGGGCGCGCGUCGCCUGCGACUGGCCCAUGCCGUCGCGGA